rnacentral:rRNA from 1 species
GACGGAGGAUGCAAGCGUUAUCCGGAAUUAUUGGGCGUAAAGCGUCCGCAGGUGGUUUUACAAGUCUGUUGUCAAAGCGCGAGGCUCAACCUUGUAUAGGCGAUGGAAACUGUAAGACUAGAGUGCGGUAGGGGUAGAGGGAAUUCCCGGUGUAGCGGUGAAAUGCGUAGAUAUCGGGAAGAACACCAGUGGCGAAGGCGCUCUACUGGGCCUGCACUGACACUGAGGGACGAAAGCUAGGGGAGCGAAAGGG